UAAGUGAAAGCCAAUAGUAGGCACUUAUUUGUUAAUUAAGUUUAGGCUAAAAUUUAGCUCACUUAG
rnacentral:tRNA from 1 species